GGGGCUUGGGGGGCACGCAGCGGGACCCCGGGGGUUUGAAGGCAGUGAAGCGGGUGCGGUGCCGCGGCGCCUGACUCUGCGCUGCUUAGCUGGGGGUGCCAGAGCUAAUCGAGCUUUUAGUUCUUCGCCGUUAAGCUGCUGCCUUCCUUGUGGCUGAUUCCGCCUCUAAAACAGCCCGGGAGCUCGUGUUGUGUGACUGGGAACGCGGAGCUGCGUGGCUGCGGUGAGGUGAGGCUGUUGCACGGAGCGGCUGCUCUCCCGGUUCUGGGGGCAGGAGGUCUCCGAGAACUUUGCUCCGACGACGUUCUGCAGCGCUGAUGCUCUUCCAGAUUGCUUCCUCAAUAAACGCCAGCAAUCAGUAAAAAA